AUUGGGGAGUCGCGAAUUUUGUAAUCCGACAAAUUUAAUCACCUUUUUUGACUGAAGAUGCGACUUGAAUCCGUCAAAAUUCAUCUCGACUAUGAAAUUAAGCUCGAAUUAUGUAUGCAAAAUGCAAACACUUGCCAGGAGGCGGCCUGCCUUUGGCUCUCGGCGUGCAAGAGCAGCAAAAACCGGUCGCCUAUUUCUCAAAACGGCCGGCGGCCGCGCGAGGCCAAAGGCUGAAGAUGAUUCAAGUUGGAAAUAACACCGUCUCCCCCCAGCCUUGCACAAACAUCCUUGAAGGAAGAGCCUGGACUUUUGCAAGUGUCGGAGUCGGACAACGGGAUGGUCAAGACCCUGAAUUUUCCAGAGAUUGCGACAGAUCAGAGCAGCGCGCCUACAUAUCUGAAUUUAAUUUGUCUUGGACACUUCUCAAAAUGCAAUUUGUGGACUUGCCAGCGUGGUGGCUCAGCACCAGCAGCAAAAUUUGGGAAUCUGGCAGUUACAGAAAAAGGAAAAGAAACAUCGGACUUUGGUUCGUCAAAAAAAUAUAUAUAUUUUAUAUAAAGCAAAAUUGAAAUUUUUUUUAAACAAAUUUCAACAAUUUGUUGCAAAUUUUGAACAUAUCUCUUGGUUAUGAUUCUAAAAUAACUCUGAUUAAUGAUAAAAUCUGGUUCAAACUGAAAUUUUGAAAUUUACGCCUUGUUAAUAAUUGAAAAUGAGAAAAUCUGAUCGAUUUUUCAUUCUCUGCACUAAAAAAAUUUGUACUGUGAAACUUUUUUUGUCAUUCAAUUUUUUUAAUAAGUCACUUGUAUUUAAAAUUCUAAUUCAUUUUACUGUGCAGGCUGUGCAGCAAUCAUUACUUUUUGGGCCUCAUCCGUAAACUCCACAAGUUGUUUCUUUUUUUAAGCAGCGCAUUUACAAAAUGAACGAAUUAGUCGAAUGAAGGAGUUGAAAUUUCAAAGCAAACAAAUAAGAGAUGCAGCCAAGCCGACAUCUUUUCGUUGGCAAAUGGAGGCUUCAAAAUUAAGUGAACGAGUGUGAGCCCACCCCCUUGGGCCCCUUGCAUCUUAAGGGUGUGUCUAAAUUUGCGGAAAAGUACUGCACACCAGUCAUACCAAAGCCAAAACAGGGCACCUCCUGCAAUAAGCAAUACUGAUUUUGGCGAAUUCUACCCCUCGUCAAAUACCCUGACGCUCCUUUCACGCACCUCAUAUUGCCAGGGGUAACUCAUCUCAGGUGGAAUUCCCCAAUUCACCAAUUGGUAUUGCCCAUUGCAUAGGAAGAAGUGCCCUAUUUUGCUUUGGUAAGACUGGUAUGAAGUCUUUUUGGCAAAAUUGGUGCCCACUCUUAUAUGAGAGGCCAAACGGAUCGGGGCACAUUUUUUUCGGUGCCAAUGAAGUAGCUUAUAUUGUAGCCCCCAUGUUCCUUAACGGUGCAACCCCGGAAUUAUAUUUUAUUUCUUAAUUCUUUUAGGAAAUAAUUUCUUUUAUCCAAAUAGAAUUAAUUAACGCACUGCAAAAGUUUUUUGUUUUUUGUGGAAAUUUUUACAAGUAAUAUUAAAUUUGCAAUUUUGCUUAAGUUUAAAAAUAAAUCUCUGAAAGAAAAUUCAACAUAUAAUUGA